UACGUAGGCAGCGAGCGUUGUUCGGAAUUACUGGGCGUAAAGAGUGUGUAGGCGGUGCUCUAAGUUCGGUGUGAAAUCUCCCGGCUUAACUGGGAGGGUGCGCCGGAAACUGGAGUGCUCGAGCGUGGGAGAGGAAAGCGGAAUUCCCGGUGUAGCGGUGAAAUGCGUAGAUAUCAAGUGGAACACCAGUGGCGAAGGCGAGUCUCUGGACAUUUCCUGACGCUGAGGCACGAAAGCCAGGGGAGCAAACGGG
rnacentral:rRNA from 1 species